rnacentral:rRNA from 1 species
UACGAGGAGGCGUAAGCGUUGUUCGGAAUCACUGGGCGUAAAGGGCGCGUAGGCGGCUUUGUAAGUCGGGGGUGAAAGCCUGUGGCUCAACCACAGAAUUGCCUUCGAUACUGCAUGGCUUGAGACCGGAAGAGGUAAGUGGAACUGCGAGUGUAGAGGUGAAAUUCGUAGAUAUUCGCAAGAACACCAGUGGCGAAGGCGGCUUACUGGUCCGGUUCUGACGCUGAGGCGGCGAAAAGCGUGGGGAGCAAACAGG